AAGGAGAAAGAAUGAAUGAGAAAAGACUAGAGUCUACUAGGGCACCCAGAGGCAAUUUGUGGAGAUGUUUUGUAAUUCUCCCCAUUUACCUCACAAACAGCCACUGUCCUUGUUCAGAACAACCUGCCUUGCUCUGAUGACCUCGCUUUUGCAAGUCAACAGCUGAGACACAUAGCAGGACACCAUACUUCGACACGCACCUGCUUUCCCCAGAUCAUUUUUGACUACGACAACUGCUUAAGCCAUCUGCUGUCAUCUACAUCGGUCAAUACAAUAGUGCUCUUCUUUACAUGUUGCUACAGAUUAUCAAGGGAAGGGUUUAGAAUGGAGACAUGAAGAUGCUGCAGGUCUGCCUGGUACAAAAAAAAGUGGAAAGAUCCAGUGAGUGUAUGGUUGUGGGGUCCUCAGAUGUGGAGGCUGACUGUAGACAUUGUUCUACGCCAUUUUAUAUAAGGGACUUGUGCACCUAUGGAGUUUGUGAUCUGCAAAGGGCCUGGAACCAAGUCCGUGCAGAUACCAAGGGACAACCAAGUUUUGGCAGAGUCAAAAGUUAUAUGUGUUUGGACAGCAGUUUAUCCAUUUACAGUUGCUAGAUGGUUCGACCGUUUCCAGUUUUGGGUGACUAUGAAUAAAGCUGCUAUGAACAUCUCAUGCAGGAUGCUGUGCAUGGAUAGGGGUUUCCUCGGCUGCCGAAUUUCCUAUCCUCUGUACCUCAACCUCAGUGUGAUAAUCAAGAUUAAAAGAAAGUAUGCAAAAUGUAAUUCUCUUGUUCGCUUCAGCAGUUUGUAUUAAACACUUUAUGCCCUGUACCCAGUGUUAAAACUUGGUUGUUAGUUCAAUGUACCCUCACUUGCCCCUUAGGGUUAAAACCCACAAUGGAAAUAGACUUGCAGAAAAAUAUCUGAAUGCGUGAUUGAACGUGAUAAUCAGCAGCAAAAUAUACUAUGGCCUACGGAAACCCACUGCUCCCAAAGGAUCCCUGCAAAUAAGAGACAAAGCAAUGUGCCUGGUAGAGCUGGAUUUUACAUAUACAUUUUACUCAGUUCUCAUUUUCAAAAUCAUGAUUUGUAAUGAACUCUCUUUAAGAGUGGUCAAUUCUCAGUAUUGAAAGCAUUUCAGCAAAGGGUCUUCAAAUGCUAUUGUUUGAAAUUCCAUGAAUUAUAAUGGGAUCUAGUCUGUUUGAAAUGGUUUACAGAAUGGAUUUUUAUCAUUAUUUUACAUUUGUUGAGAGCUAACAAAACAAUGAACACAAGCAAACAGAUUUGCAAUCUCAACUAUGCCU